ACGAACGCUGGCGGCGUGCUUCACCCAUGCAAGUCGCACGGUGAACCUCUUCGGAGGGGAUCAGUGGCGAACGGGUGAGUAACACGUAGGCAACCUGCCCCCGGCUCUGGGAUAACUCCAAGAAAUUGGGGCUAAUACCGGAUGUUCACCGCUUCCCGCAUGGGUGGUGGUGGAAAGGGUUUCCGGCUGGGGAUGGGCCCGCGGCCUAUCAGCUUGUUGGUGGGGUAGUGGCCUACCAAGGCGACGACGGGUAGCCGGCCUGAGAGGGUGACCGGCCACACUGGGACUGAGACACGGCCCAGACUCCUACGGGAGGCAGCAGUGGGGAAUAUUGCGCAAUGGGCGGAAGCCUGACGCAGCGACGCCGCGUGGGGGAUGACGGCCUUCGGGUUGUAAACCUCUUUCAGCAGGGACGAAGCGCAAGUGACGGUACCUGCAGAAGAAGCACCGGCCAACUACGUG
rnacentral:rRNA from 1 species